UUUCGCAAUGCCCGAAAGGGUGACGAAGCGACGCCGCGUGUGGGAAGAAGGCCUUCGGGUUGUAAACCACUGUCGGGAGUUAAGAAAGGUGUACGGGUAGAUAGUCCGUGCAUUUGACAAAAGCUCCGGAGGAAGCCACGGCUAACUCUGUGCCAGCAGCCGCGGUAAUACAGAGGUGGCAAGCGUUGUUCGGAAUUAUUGGGCGUAAAGAGCACGUAGGCGGCCCUGCAAGUCAGCUGUGAAAGCCUCCUGCUUGACGGGAGAAGUACAGUUGAAACCACGGGGCUAGAGUGCGGAAGGGGAGAGUGGAACUUCUGGUGGAGCGGUGAAAUGCGUAGAUAUCAGAAGGAACACCGGCGGCGAAAGCGGCUCUCUGGUCCGUAACUGACGCUGAGGUGCGAAAGCCAGGGGAGCAAACGGGAUUAGAUACCCCGGUAGUCCUGGCCGUAAACGAUGGGCACUAAGUAGAGGGGUUUU
rnacentral:rRNA from 1 species